rnacentral:rRNA from 1 species
AACGAACGCUGGCGGCAGGCUUAACACAUGCAAGUCGAGCGCCCCGCAAGGGGAGCGGCAGACGGGUGAGUAACGCGUGGGAAUCUACCCAUCUCUACGGAAUAACGCAUGGAAACGUGUGCUAAUACCGUAUACGUCCUUCGGGAGAAGGAUUUAUCGGAGAUGGAUGAGCCCGCGUUGGAUUAGCUAGUUGGUGGGGUAAAGGCCUACCAAGGCGACGAUCCAUAGCUGGUCUGAGAGGAUGAUCAGCCACACUGGGACUGAGACACGGCCCAGACUCCUACGGGAGACAGCAGUGGGGAAUAUUGGACAAUGGGCGCAAGCCUGAUCCAGCCAUGCCGCGUGAGUGAUGAAGGCCCUAGGGUUGUAAAGCUCUUUCACCGGUGAAGAUAAUGACGGUAACCGGAGAAGAAGCCCCGGCUAACUUCGUGCCAGCCGCCGCCGUAAUAC